rnacentral:rRNA from 1 species
GAGUUUGAUCUUGGCUCAGAUUGAACGCUGGCGGCAGGCCUAACACAUGCAAGUCGAGCGGAUGACGGGAGCUUGCUCCUUGAUUCAGCGGCGGACGGGUGAGUAAUGCCUGGGAAUCCGCCUGGUAGUGGGGGACAACGUUUCGAAAGGAACGCUAAUACCGCAUACGUCCUACGGGAGAAAGCAGGGGACCUUCGGGCCUUGCGCUAUCAGAUGAGCCUAGGUCGGAUUAGCUAGUUGGUGGGGUAAUGGCUCACCAAGGCGACGAUCCGUAACUGGUCUGAGAGGAUGAUCAGUCACACUGGAACUGAGACACGGUCCAGACCUCCUACGGGAGCAGCAGGUGGGAAUAUUGGACAAUGGGCGAAAGCCUGAUCCAGCCAUGCCGCGUGUGUGAAGAAGGUCUUCGGAUUGUAAAGCACUUCAAGUUGGGAGGAAGGCAGUAAGUUAAUACCUUACUGUUUGACGUUACCGACAGAAUAAGCACCGG